AGAGUUUGAUCAUGGCUCAGAAUGAACGCUGGUGGAGUGCCUUAUACAUGCAAGUCGAGUGAGGCUUCGAGCCGAGCGGCGGACGGGUGAGUAACGCGUGAAUAACCUGCCCUGCAGUGGGGAACAACCUUCCUAACGGAGGGCUAAUGCCGCAUAUUGAACGGAGCUUCCUGGCUCCGUCUCGAAAGAUUUAUCGCUGCAGGAUGGAUUCGCGUAGGAUUAGCUAGUUGGCGGGGUAACGGCCCACCAAGGCGACGAUCCUUAGCCGGCCUGAGAGGGUGACUGGCCACAAUGGGACUGAGAUACGGCUCAUACUCCUACGGGAGGCAGCAGUAGGGAAUAUUGCGCAAUGGGCGAAAGCCUGACGCAGCAACUCCACGUGUGGGACGACGCAUUUCGGUGUGUAAACCACUGUCGGCAGGGAACAAAAGGCCCGCAAGGGAGUUUGAGUGUACCUGCAGAGGAAGCACCGGCAAACUUCGUGCCAGCAGCCGCGGUAAUACGAGGGGUGCGAGCGUUGUUCGGAAUCACUGGGCGUAAAGGGCGCGUAGGCGGACCGUUAAGUCGGGGGUUUAAUUCCGGGGCCCAACCCCGGAGCCGCCCCCGAUACUGACGGCCUUGGGUAGGUCAGGGGCAGUGGGGAACACCUGGUGUAGCGGUGGAAUGCGUAGAUAUCAGGUGGAACACCAGUGGCGAAGGCGCACUGCUGGGGCCAUACCGACGCUGAGGCGCGAAAGCAUGGGUAGCGAACAGGAUUAGAUACCCUGGUAGUCCAUGCCGUAAACGAUGUCGACUAGGCGCCUGCCCGCGAGGGUGGGUGCCGCAGCUAACGCAUUAAGUCGACCGCCUGGGGAGUACGCCCGCAAGGGUGAAACUCAAAGGAAUUGACGGGGGCCCGCACAAGCGGUGGAGUAUGUGGUUUAAUUCGAAGCAACGCGAAGAACCUUACCAGGUCUUGACAUGGGGGCGACGCGCCGGGAGACCGGCGUUCCGUAGCAAUACGGCGCCCCGCACAGGUGCUGCAUGGCUGUCGUCAGCUCGUGCCGUGAGGUGUUGGGUUAAGUCCCGCAACGAGCGCAACCCCCGUUCACAGUUGCCACCAUUCAGUUGGGCACUCUGUGGAGACUGCCGCGGACAACGCGGAGGAAGGUGGGGACGACGUCAGGUCAUCAUGGCCCUUACGACCUGGGCUACACACGUACUACAAUGGCCGGGACAGUGGGCAGCCACCUCGCGAGAGGGAGCGAAUCUCCAAACCCGGCCUCAGUUCGGAUAGCAGUCUGCAACCCGACUGCUUGAAGCUGGAAUCGCUAGUAAUCGCGGAUCAGCAUGCCGCGGUGAAUACGUUCCCGGGCCUUGUACACACCGCCCGUC
rnacentral:rRNA from 1 species